AUCCCGUGCCAUUCUAACUAGAAGCAAUACUGAUGGCCCAAAACAAGAUGAUUGUGAUGGUUCUCCUCCUUUCCACCUUUCUUGUGGUGGCAAGAUCGUUGUGGGUUCCAGAAGAACCCUCAAAUGCGGAUGACAUAAGAGGUGCUUGCAUCGAGGAGUGCACCAAAGAAAAUAAGGCUCCUGGCGACAAGAAGACAUGCGAAGUGUUGUGCACCAAGCUCACAAAAAAGCCUAGCGAAGAAGGCAAACAUGAUUGAUGAAGUAGAACUCCGAUAAUAUAUACACUAGUGGAUCAGUGGUCAUCUUUGUAGCCAUGUCUACCACACGAUGGCCUUGAUUAUAUUGUCUUAUUGUUUUGUUUUUGGUUUCCAAUAGUAUCCUAAUUCCUUGUUCAUGUAACCUAAUGUCACUCAAAGCAUUUUAUAUGCCUCACUUAAUUAAAUAAAUACAAAGGCAAAGGCAUGUUAUGUUUUGAUC
rnacentral:lncRNA from 1 species